GUCCUCGCUGAGGUUUGCCCCACCAUCGGCCAGAGGGACAAGGCUCUGGCUCUGAUACCAAUUGUCAGGGUCCUUGACAUGGCUGAAUAUUGUCCGCUUUGGGCCCUUCCGUACGAGGUCACCCUCACGGUUUUGUUCUUGGGGGAAAUGGGAAACUUCCCAGGAGGUCACCCAUCCUAGGAUUUCCAUUAAGCGAGCACGCUUAACCCUGGAGUUCUUCCAACUCUCCAGCCAUUUCACCACCAAAACGCGUCCAACCAUUCAAGGCAUCACCCCUCUUUUGUACUGUCUGAACACCCUGUGCGUAGCCGAUGUGGGAUUCACCUAAGGUGUAGUGCCCCAAACCUGGGAUGU
rnacentral:lncRNA from 1 species